CAACUUCUUCUUCUCCCUCAUAACCUCUUUCCCUGUCCCUUUGUAAUCAUGAUUCUUCUUUGCCAUCAUUACCUUCUAAAGGAGCCUCUCUCUUUCCUCUCUCGCUCUCUCAAGAAAAUGCAAGACACAAACUUACACAAAUUUUCAUCUAUAUAACACCUCUAUUUAUCUCUUACCCACUAAUCAAACACGCCUCACUUCUUUUAUCUCUCUCUAUAAUCUCUAAAGAUGUGUUUAAGUUCUUCAGAACCAUUCUCACACACACCCACGAGAUUAGUUUUGUACCUCAAAACACAUACCCACGUUCGUAUCCCUCGCCUCUCAAGGAGGAGAAGGAUGUGGCGGGAAGAAAAGGAGAUGGAGAUGAA